rnacentral:lncRNA from 1 species
GUUGCUUCUCCGUGUGCUGUGGAAGCUGAGAGGGCUGUGAUGAAUGCAGCGGGCACGGGGAAGUGUCCUGGAUGAGGCAGCUGAAUGAUGUCCCGCAGACCUGGCUGCUGCCAGAAACUUGCUCCGUCAGCCUGCGAAGGUCGUUUAACCCCGACGUUUUGCAUGGGGCUGCUAAAUGUAUGCUGCUCAUUUUGGCGUCUGCUUGCCAGAGCACAGAGCUCCUGCUGCUGGGAUGUGAACCCAGAAGAGCCAUGCAGUGCUGGGGAUGGAAAGCUGCCGCUUCCCGCUGGGUGUGGCAGGAUCACACGGAUCGUCUGGCAGCCUCCUGACAGUGAGCCUCAGGGUCCUGCAGCCCAUUGCUGGUCCUGGACAGCCAGCAGUGCUGGUUGGUGCAAACCACUCUGCCUACUUCCCUGCAGCUCGUCCGUUCUCCAGUUCUCUCUGUUUUGAUGGUUCCAACCGCCGCUAUUCAGGCUGGUACAGAAGGAAGCCCCUUCUCCUAGAGCCUCCAUCCUCCUGAGAGGAGAUGACAAUUGCAAGACACAGAGCAGGAUGUGCCAUGCAGCGAGCCUCUGUGCUGCACUGCUGUCCAAGUGACUCUGACAAGGCACCUUUCUGCUGGCUGCACUGCCUGGCUGCCUCUGCUUCCCACCCAGCCACAGCACACCUUUAUUUCCACUCAUUUGGUGGCACUGCUGAAUUCGAUGUGGUUUGCUCAGGUAGGGUUUUACUUUCAGCUUCCACCGCCUUUGCUGGAGGUGUCUUCCAAGUGGCAUCAGGGUUUUCUCACCCUCAGCUUUCCUUUCUCUUCUUCAAAGAUGUGUCUUCUUCUAACAGUUCUGUUUGGAUUCCCUCCCUAUACACGGGCUUCUACCCCUUUGACAAGGCUCAUUUUUCAGGACAGAGGUUAUACUUCUCAUCAAAAUGCUGGCAAAGAUAA